GACGAACGCUGGCGGCGUGCUUAAUACAUGCAAGUAGAACGCAGUUGCGAACGGGUGAGUAACGCGUAGGUAACUGCCCCAUAGCGGGGGACAACGACUGGAAACGAUAGCUUAUACCCCAUACUGUGAGACGGACCGGCGUUGUUUUAGCUAGGUGGUGGGGUAAAGGCUAACCAAGGCGCCGAUACAGUGCCGGCCCGGGCGGGUGAACGGCCACACUGGGACUGGGAACAGGGCCAGACUCCUACGGGAGGGAGCAAGAGGGGAUCUUCGGACAUUGGCGGAAGUCUGACCGCACAACGCCGCGUGAGGGGAGGAAGGUUUUGGAUCGUAAAGCUCUGUUGUUAGAGAAGCGUUAACUGACCAGGAAGGGACGGCUAACUACGUGCCAGCAGCCGCGGUAAUUC
rnacentral:rRNA from 1 species